AAUAUUGGACAAUGGGGGCAACCCUGAUCCAGCCAUGCCGCGUGUGUGAAGAAGGUCAUCGAAAUCUAACGCACUUUCAGUCGGGAGGAGGGGCUUUACGUUAAUACCCUUAUUCUUUGACGUUACCAAUAGAAUACGCGCCGGCUAACUGUGUACCAGCAUCCGCGGUAGUACAGACGGUGCAAGCGUUAAUCGGAAUUACUGGGCGUAAAGCGCGCGUAGGUGGUUCAGUAAGAUGGGUGUGAAAUCCCCGGGCUUAACCUGGGAACUGCUUUCAUAACUGCUGAGCUAGAGUACGGUAGAGGGUAGUGGAAUUUCCUGUGUAGCGGUGAAAUGCGUAGAUAUAGGAAGGAACACCAGUGGCGAAGGCGACUACCUGGACUGAUACUGACACUGAGGUGCGAAAGCGUGGGGAGCAAA
rnacentral:rRNA from 1 species